rnacentral:rRNA from 1 species
UGAGGAAUAUUGGUCAAUGGGGGCAACCCUGAACCAGCCAAGUCGCGUGAAGGAUGAAGGUCUUAUGGAUUGUAAACUUCUUUUACACGGGAAUAAAGUGGGGGACGUGUCCCCCUUUGCAUGUACCGUGUGAAUAAGGAUCGGCUAACUCCGUGCCAGCAGCCGCGGUAAUACGGAGGAUCCGAGCGUUAUCCGGAUUUAUUGGGUUUAAAGGGUGCGCAGGCGGGAUGUUAAGUCGGCGGUGAAAUUUUGCAGCUCAACUGUAAAAGUGCCUUCGAUACUGGCCUCCUUGAGUGUGGAUGAAGUAGGCGGAAUUUGUGGUGUAGCGUUGAAAUGCUUAGAUAUCACGAGGAACUCCGAUUGCGCAGGCAGCUUACUAAGCCACAACUGACGCUCAUGCACGAAGGCGUGGGGAUCAAACA